rnacentral:rRNA from 1 species
GCUCGUAGUUGGAUUUUUGGUUUGUCCUACCGGCUGGUCCCUUUGGGUCCUUGCUGUGUGGGACAUCCUUUUCUUGGGUGGAAUCCGUGUGGCAUUAGGUUGUCGUGCGGGGGAUGCCCAUCUUUUACUGUGAAAAAAUUAGAGUGUUCAAAGCAGUCUUAUGACGUUGAAUAUAUUAGCAUGGAAUAAUGAUAUAGGACCUUGGUACUAUUUUGUUGGUUUGCGCACUGAGGUAAUGAUUAAUAGGGACAGUUGGGGGUAUUCGUAUUCCAUUGUAAGAGGUGAAAUUCUUGGAUUUUUGGAAGACGAACUACUGCGAAAGCAUUUACCAAGGAUGUUUUCAUUAAUCAAGAACGAAAGUUAGGGGAUCGAAGAUGAUUAGAUACCAUCGUAGUCUUAACC